GAACGCCUUUUCCCACGCUUUCCCGUCUGUUCUCAAAAAAAGAGUGUCCAACUUUCAGAUAUCUGAAAUUCAAAUUAAUUUUUAAAAAUGGAUUUAAAAUCUGGGUGAACCCCACAGAGGGCCAAGGUCCACACGCAUCUGACUCCUGCCCACUAUGUGGGGACAACGUGCUGCUCUUCCCUCGGAAGGAUGCUGCCUCUCCUCACAAGUCGGUUGGAAUUGAGUCGUUUUGCUGCCAGUGGGGAUGGAUUUAUCAUCAGCCACCCACUUCCUUAAAUACGGAACAGAAAAGAGCAAGAAAAACUCACUUCGACCCCCUGUGAUUCCAUCUCCAACCUGGUCAAUCAGCACUCCCCACUUCUCAAGCCCCUGCCUGCCAAAUUAUCUUUAAAAAGUCAUCCCUGAAUGCUCAGGGAGAUUGAUUUUAGUAAUAAUAAAACUCUGGUCUCCCGCA